rnacentral:misc_RNA from 1 species
GGUUAAUCCAAACAGGCCCUAAAUCAUACUGUACGUAAGGCCAGAAAUCAGCCUUCUUCCCCGUCCGAUGUCUCACACGUUGCAAGACCUUGUUUGGGUCUACAUGUCCAGUGACCGUAAGCUUGUGCUGCUAGGGCUCCACUUCUGCCUUGGUCACUCCCUUCAUGCCUUCCACUGCCUUCUUGACCUUUCUCUCGCAUCCUUCACAGUCCAUUCUCACUUUAAUUUCCACCGUCUGUUUUCACGUGGACGUUAU